GAUGAACGCUGGCGGCGUGCCUAAUACAUGCAAGUCGAGCGAACAGACGCGGAGCUUGCUCCUCUUACGUUAGCGGCGGACGGGUGAGUAACACGUGGAUAACCUACCUAUGAGACUGGGAUAACUUCGGGAAACCGGAGCUACUACCGGCUACUAUAUUGAACCGCAUUGUUCAAUAGUUAAAGCGGGUUUUGCUGUCACUUAUAGAUGGAUCCGCGCCGCAUUAGAUAGUUGGUAAGGUAACGGCUUACCAAGGGGACAGUGCGUAGCCGACCUGAGAGGGUGAUCGGCCACACUGGAGCGGAGGCACGGGCGUGAGUCCUACGGGAGGCAGCAGUAGGGAAGCUUCCGCAAGGGGCGAGAGCCUGACGUAGCAACGCCGCGUGAGUGAUGAAGGUCUUCCGAUCGUAAAACUCUGUUAUUAGGGAAGAACAAAUGUGUAAGUAACUAUGCACGUCUUGACGGGACCUAAUCAGAAAGCCACGGCUAACUACGUG
rnacentral:rRNA from 1 species